ensembl:lncRNA
GUAGGUGACGACUCAAUGUCACUUAUGUUAACGUUGUUGUUGUUGUUUUAACCGCGGUUUCGUUCUAUUUUUCGCUCAAGAUGUAUACUUUGAUUCUCUUUCUUCAUCUUAAUCGUCGGUAUUGUAAGUAUUUCAGCCAAAAAAAACAAACUGAAGGGAGUUAAUAUCGGUUCCACGGCCGCUGUGGUCGGUGUUUGUCCGAGGGGAGAUGCUGUAGCGGACCUGGGCUCGGUUUGUUUACCGUGGAGCGGCAGGCGGUGUCCGGGGAGCUGUCCAGCGAGGCGGUGCUGGAGCCGGCUCAUACCGUUAUAUAGGGUUACGAUGUUAUUCGACACCUAUUGAAACAACGCAAGGGGGAGUCGUUGCCAUGACACCGAGUGCUCUUCUUCUCUGGAUGCUCCUCCAGUCCGUGGGAGCCGCCGCAGCGCCCUCCCAGUGCCACCAGGGGGCGACCAUCCCGGAGGCGGUGCUGGCCCCGGCCCUGAGCAGCGGCAGCAGCGUCCUGCGGGUUCUGGGCGUGGCCUCUCUGGCCCGCUGCCGGGUCUCCUGCUGCGAGCGGCCCCGCUGCGACCUGGCCUGGCUCUUCCAGGGCCGCUGCUAUAUCCUCAGCUGCCAGCAGGGGGGGGCGUGCCGGCCCCAGAACCGCCCCGGGGCCGACUCCUACCUGGCCUUCGUGCUGCGGGGGCCGCCCAGACCCUGGUCCUGGGGCCCCUGGUGCGGGGGGAGCCGUACGGGAG